UACGAAGGGGUGCAAGCGUUACUCGGAAUUACUGGGCGUAAAGCGUGCGUAGGCGGUUUGUUAAGUCUGUCGUGAAAGCCCCGGGCUCAACCUGGGAAUGGCGAUGGAUACUGGCGAGCUAGAGUACGGUAGAGGAGAGUGGAAUUCCCGGUGUAGCAGUGAAAUGCGUAGAGAUCGGGAGGAACAUCAGUUGCGAAGGCGGCUCUCUGGACCAGUGACUGA
rnacentral:rRNA from 1 species